CUUCGGGAAGGUGCUGUGACACUUUUGCUGCUGUUUAUUCUCUAGAACCUUGAGGCUGAUUAUGGGGUGAGGCCACAGAUGAUAGGAAGAUAAGGAAGGGUAGACGGGUUAGCGUGCUUGCGUGAGAGAUGGUAACAGUUAGCAUUGGGGUAUUCUGCUCUGAAAAACAGAAUUGCUUGUCCACAACACAACAGAGGUGGUGGCAACAUAAGAUACCAAUACUGCACGAGCCACAGCGAGAAAACUAUGACACAAUGUUUUGAGGAAGGAAUUACACUCAGGAUAAGAAUACACAGUUUUGGUGAGUAAGUUAUGUCCAAAAGAAAACACUGGGGCACCUGAAGCCUGCACUGAUGAAAUUAUAAUAAAUAAUACUAUAGUUCCUUCCGUUUUUGGCCCACUAGAAAUUAGAAUGCUGGCUUCUCAUGCACAAAUUUUAACAAAAUGCUAUAAAACACGAAAUACAAUUUUCUUCAAAUUGCAAUCAUGACACUGGGGAUCCAAAAGGAGGACUUUCGGGCCAGUUUUUUUGGUCCCAAAACAUAGAAAUAGAAUUGAAUGGUGUAUGAGUCAGUGAACUGAGUUCUCUCUUGGUAUUCGGUUUUUAAUACCAUACAUGCCUGUUUGUCUCCCUUAUCCAUGUAACCAGUGUUGAUUGUAGUGGUCUCUCUGCAAACACUGGCCAAUCUCAGAACAAAGAGAAUAACAUUGAUCUUCUCAUCUAAUUCCCUGUAAAUCUUGCUUAUUUCGCCAAAAUGUCAGAGUAUUCCUUUAAGGGUUUACUUUUCUUUUUUUGUCUUGGUCUCAUUAUCUAGAACAGAAUCAAAUUUUCUGUGUAUUGAUUGAAUAGAAAGCAGGUGGGGGAAAUAAAUCAGUCCUCUAUUAUGCAGCUGAUUUCGUCUGUUGAGUCAUCAAUGCAAAAAUAACCCUGAGAAGAGAGAGAGAGAGAGAGAGAGAGAGAGAGACCAUUACUGUCCAUCUACUUUUUUCAGACCAAACAGUGAAAGUGUGAAAGUGUUAUUAUUGCUGACUUCAUCAUCCCAGACAUUUUUUCAUUUUAUUUCCUCUGAUUGUUUCCAACCGAAUUCCUGACUGCCCCACCACCUCAAACCCAAAGUGAGCUCUUGAUUUUAUCUGGUCCUCAGUCCAGUGAAUGCCAGUGUCAGCUGGAUUAGGAGCCUAAUUGGUAUGGAGUAAGGAAUCCUUUGCACAGCCAAGAGGUAGACCGAGAGUAGAGAUGUAAUUCACAAAACCCAUAGCUAAACCAGGUGGAGCAGUGAAGGGGAGAAAUCCUUCCUUUCUCUUCUCAGGCUUAUAUCUUCCACACACAGAUGCACAUCACUAGUUUGCACAUGCAAGAAGUGAUACAGGAAAUGACACCUAGGAUAUAAAACUCACAUUUGACUAGGCGUACCCUCCCACAGGCAAGCCCUCAUGUGCAUAAAAUAGGAAUUGCAUUUUAAAAAUGUCAGCACAAGUGCAUAUCAAAGCAGAGAGGACAGAACAUUUUACGGCUUGAACCAUGCAUUAGGUUAAAAUCCAUUUUCCAAGCUAAUUGUUUCCAUAAGUAAGAGAAAAUGUUUCAGUUAAUAUAUUGUUAAACGAAAACACAGGGAAUAUUAAGUUCAAAGUUCAUCUGGUGUUUUUCAUUUUAAGCAGUUUAAUCACUUGUUAAUUCACCUAUUAAUUUCAUACAAGUUGUUGUUAAGCAGUAAAAAUAAGGUCAAACCAAUAUUUGAUGUGACCAGGGAGGUCAGGGAGGGGCAGCCAUCUGCUGCAAUUGGUUGGGGGUGAGGAGAGGGAGACAGGACACAUUGUGGAAGAGAGCCAGAUUAAUAAUAACUAAUAACUAAUUUUUAAAUGCAAAGUAGUGUAUAUACACAUAGAGUGAAAAGACGUGAGAGAAGAAACACCCAGUGCGUUAUGGGAACUCCCUAGCAGCCUAGGCCUAUUAUGGCAUAACUAAGGAAGAAUUCAGGGUCACCUGAUCAAGCCCUAUCUAGCCCUAACUAUGGUUUAUCAAACAGGAAUCUAAUUGAGAAGGUAAAGAGGGUGUCUUUGUCCCAAAUUUAAACUGGGAGCGCACUCCAUAGAAGAAUGGACUGAAAGCUGAAGCUCUGCCUCUCAUUCUCCUUUUAAAUGCUCAAGUAACUACAACUAAGUCAUCAGUCUGAGAGUAAAGUGCUCUUUUGGGGUCAUAUGGUACUAUGAGUUCUUAAAGAUAAGGUAGGCCCUGAUUAUUUAAGACCUUGUGUGUGAGGAGAAGGAUUUCAUAUUCAAUUCUGGAAGGAAGCCAGUGAAGAGAAGCCAGUAUGGGAUAAAUAUACUCUCUUUCUAUCCCUGUCAGUACUCUCACGGCAGCAUUUUGGCUCAUCAGCUGACUGUUGUAAUCAGGGCUCUGGGGAGCCAUUCCAUAUGUUGCACCAAUCAGCAAACAGGCAAAUAUACUCUAAGUGACUAGCUUUUGAUGAUGGUAGAUUAUUUACUUGCUCCAGAUAUAUAUCCUUAAUCCAUUUAUUAACAGACAUGAAACAAAAGUUAAAAGGAGACUCCUUUGCAUUUGCAUUUUUUAUUUAUGUAGACAUAUAACUUCAAUUUUGCGUUAACUAACAUUUACAAAAACACAGGGUAUAAGCAAAAUAUUAACAAGAACUUUUUAGCCCAAUACACCACUUGUUUUUCUACAUGAAAACAGCUGUUCCUGUGAAUUUUAUCUCCCUCUGUGCAAGUCAACACCUGAUUCUUUUAUAUGUGUGACUCUAACUCCUGAAACAAUAAACUUGUUCAGCCAGCGGCACUCAACAAACUAUAAGUCCCAUCAGUCUCAUUGCUUGAAUGUAAACAAAUGUAGAGUGUAUGUGAGGAAAAUGGCCUUACUAAUGCAUAACAGUUUGCAUGUAAACAGACUGGCAGGUGUAAUACGAGGCAACACUUCAGUAUAAGGCUUUCCUCAACACUGAGGAAGGCCUGGUGCUUAAGAGCGUCUGUGUUUUUCUUACUUGUCAUAUGAAACAGUGUAUGUGCUGAAGUUCUCUUUCACAAGUGUGUAAUUACAUUUCAGUCACUAUAGGCCUCAGUCAGAAUGUUAAAUAUUAAAGUUUAUGACAGUAUAUUUAGAAAUCGACUGAACAAGUACUCCUCUGUAAGUUUUCCAUCUCAAACAACCUGAAUUAUAUUCAUGAUUACACUUUUUCAAAAGUAGUGGUUUGGGUUGAAAUACAAGACUUAUUACCAGCUGUGAAUCUGUGCAUGACAUUGUUUUGUCUGUGUGUAUUGUGGCAAAAUGUGCUGAUCCUAGAAACACUUAUCAUAUCCAGAACUAACAUGAAGGUAUAUUAAUUCCACAUGACAGUAUAUUUUGGGCAGUAUCUUUUGAUAAACUUAGGUAUGUAGUUGAAUUCAAAUGAAGGUAAAUUUGGAAAUGCAUAUUAUCCGACCCAUGGAAUAAGCAUGUAACUAGAGACCCUUUUGCAAUGCAGUUGUACAGGUUCAGUGCCUCUAAAGGUGUUUACGCUAUAACUCACGAGUAAUUUGUACUUAUGAGCUGGACUGCACUGCGUUUUACACAACUUAGAUGUUUAUUGUCACAGAGACCACUUGACAAGAAGCAGAUAAAUUCAAGUGAGACUAAUCAGGGAUAACAAGACAAGGCAGUAAAACUAAGGUUGAAGAACAAGAGACAAAAGACUGGCACAAAAACCCCCACAGUAAAGAACUAAAUAAAGAGAAAAAUACACAAUACAAUUUAACAUAGAAGAAGGGAAGAGGGGACUUGGAAAAAUAACUAGUGCUGUCAGCGUUAAUGCCUUAAUACAGCCUCAUCACGAUUAACAUGAUUAAAAAACGCACUCAACCUGUCUGGAGCGCAGAAUGGACAAACGUCGGACAAACUGCCCAAAAUGCGUUGACAGAGACAUUCCAGGGAUUUUGAGUCAGUCUGCGCUCCAGAUGAGUUAAUUGUUAAUCGCGUUAGUCACGAUGACAGCGUUAACACGCUUAAGAUGCAUUAAUGCGUUAACACCGAGUAACCCCUCACACGCACUAAUCUGCGUUAACUCUUUAACGGGGAUUUGCCAAUUUUGAUGCGUUAAUGCAUUAACAUUGACAGCACUAAAAAUAACACACAACAUACAAUUCAAUUCAAUUUUAUUUAUAUAGCGCCAAAUCACAACAACAGUUGACUCAAGGCACUUUAUAUUGUACAGUAUUAUACAAAUGAAAGAAACUGAAAGUAAGAACUAAAAGCUAAAGCUACCAAGAAUGAAUAUUAAAGGAACUAAAUAGAACAUGCAAUAACACAACACCA